GGGUCCACCCUGACCCACAAGCCCACACACCUACCACCAGGUCACAGGUUGGCUGGCUCAACCCCAGAGUGGUGCUCCCACUGCUGUGAAACAUAAAUAAAAAGACCUCAAUCACAACCACAGUCAAAAAUGGCAAGAUAUAGACGACGCAGCAGGAGCCGGAGUAGGAGCAGAUACCGACGCCGGAGGAGAAGACGAAGCAGAGGAAGACGAAGGAGGACAUACAGGAGAAGCCGGAGACAUUCGAGAAGGAGAAGAGGAAGAAGGAGAGGGUAUUCUCGCAGGAGAUAUUCUCGCAGGGGAAGAAGAAGAUACUAAGACAGCAAAUAGCAAAACUCCACCUGAACUCCUGCUUGAGAAUUUAACCAAAUUCAUCUGGAUCUUCUGACCAUCAUGAAACAGCAAAAUCAUUUCCACCAAGAUGCACACCUAUGGUGACUGCCACAAAACAGGAGCCUGCUACUGAACAAUGCCACCUGUCAAUAAAUUCUGAAAAUUCAGUC